AGCGAACGCUGGCGGCAGGCUUAACACAUGCAAGUCGAGCGGGCGUAGCAAUACGUCAGCGGCAGACGGGUGAGUAACGCGUGGGAACGUACCUUUUGGUUCGGAACAACCCAGGGAAACUUGGGCUAAUACCGGAUAAGCCCUUACGGGGAAAGAUUUAUCGCCAAAAGAUCGGCCCGCGUCUGAUUAGCUAGUUGGUGAGGUAACGGCUCACCAAGGCGACGAUCAGUAGCUGGUCUGAGAGGAUGAUCAGCCACAUUGGGACUGAGACACGGCCCAAACUCCUACGGGAGGCAGCAGUGGGGAAUAUUGGACAAUGGGCGCAAGCCUGAUCCAGCCAUGCCGCGUGAGUGAUGAAGGCCCUAGGGUUGUAAAGCUCUUUUGUGCGGGAAGAUAAUGACGGUACCGCAAGAAUAAGCCC
rnacentral:rRNA from 1 species